rnacentral:tRNA from 1 species
GCCCUGCGUGGGCCUCGUAGCGAUCCCGCGAGACAGCGGGAGGUCCCGGGUUCGAAUCCCGGCCGGGGCU